rnacentral:rRNA from 1 species
UGCGAUACGCAUUGUGAAUUGCAGAUUUCAGUGAACCAUUAGAUCUCCGAACGCAUAUGGCGCUGUAGGGACUUCCCUGCAGCACGUCUGUUUCAGUGUCUUU